rnacentral:tRNA from 1 species
GGAGGGUUGGCCGAGUGGUUUAAGGCAGCAGGUUGCUAACCUGUGCUGCGCAAGCGGCGCGUGGGUUCGAAUCCCACACCCUCCG